CCUACGGGAGGCAGCAGUGAGGAAUAUUGGUCAAUGGGCUUACGCCUGAACCAGCCAAGUCGCGUGAGGGAAGACUGCCCUAUGGGUUGUAAACCUCUUUUGUCAGGGAGCAAAGCCGGCCACGUGUAGCUGGACUGAGAGUAUCUGAAGAAAAAGCAUCGGCCAACUCCGUGCCAGCAGCCGGGGGAAUACGGAGGUGGGUAGCGUUAUCCGGAUGUAUUGGGUUUAAAGGGUGCGUAGGUGGAAGUCCAAGUCAGCGGUAAAAUCGCGGGGCACAACCACGCUCAGCCGUUGAAACUGGCGUUCUUGAGUGGGCGAGAAGUAUGCGGAAUGCGUGGUGUAGCGGUGAAAUGCAUAGAUAUCGCGCAGAACUCCGAUUGCGAAGGCAGCAUACCGGCGCCCAACUGACGCUGAAGCACGAAAGCGUGGGUAUCGAACAGGAUUAGAUACCCUAGUAGUC
rnacentral:rRNA from 1 species